rnacentral:rRNA from 1 species
CCUACGGGAGGCUGCAGUGGGGAAUAUUGCACAAUGGGCGAAAGCCUGAUGCAGCAACGCCGCGUGAAGGAAGAAGGGUUUCGGCUCGUAAACUUCUAUCAACAGGGACGAAAGAAAUGACGGUACCGGAAUAAGAAGCACCGGCUAACGACGGGCCAGCAGCCGCGGUAAUACGUAGGGGGCAAGCGUUAGCCGGAUUUACGGGGUGUACAGGGAGCGGAGACGGCGUGCCAAGUCUGAUGUGAAAGGCCGGGGCUCAACCCCGGGACGGCAUUGGAAACGGGCAUGCUGGAGUGCCGGGGUGGCAAGCGGACUUCCUCGUGUAGCGGUGACAUGCGUAGAUAUUAGGAGGAACACCGGUGGCGAAGGCGGCUUGCUGGACGGUACCUGACGUUGCGGCUCGACAGCGUGGGGAGCACACAGGAUUAGAUACCCGGGUAGUC